UUUGCCGAACAUCUCGCCCAUGCUAGCAGUGGUGGUGGAAGGCAAGCAGUCUCUGUGCAUGAUCUCCUCUGCGGAGUAGCAGUGGGGCAGAUUGUUCCUGGGGUGCCAUUUACUGGAGGGAUCAAUGGCAUAUUCCCUGAAGCUGCCCCUUUGAAGCGGAUCCGUGAAGGAGGAAAAUUGGGAGACGUCGGCUGACGUGGAGAGCUCGCCCCAGCCCGGCAGGGAGGUGCGGUCACGUGACGCCACGCCAAAUUGACAAGCGGCGGCUCCGGGCCCUCGCCCCUUCGGAGCCGGCUCGGGGGAUGCAACAGAUCGGCACGGCGCCGGGCUCCCCCUCCCCACCCCCCCCCCGCCUCGGGGUAACGCACAGCCCCCCUCCGGGGCAUCGCCCCCCGCUCCGGGGGAUGCCCCCCCGAAGGGUACGGCACCCCCCCGGCCGCCCGGUUCCCCGGCGGAGCGGCUUAGCCAUGCCCGCAGGGCUAGGUGAGAGCUCUCUGUUUGUUUGUUUGCUCGCCGGGCUGGAAAAAAAAGAAGAAAAAGCAGGGAGCGAGCAGGAGGAAUUCAGCGCCGAGCCCUUCGAGGAGGCUGCUGGCUAGCAGGAAGCUCCUCAAGGAGCGGCCGUGGCUUUUUUUUUUUUUUUCUUUUUUUUUUUUCUUUUUUUAGCUCGCCUCGGUUCGCUUUGCCUGCCCACCGACCCAAGGGAAAAAGAGGGAAAAAAAAAAAAAAAAAAAAAAAAAGCCCUCGCCCCGCAGGGUUUUGCUGGAAACGUUACUAGGAAGAAUGUGCCAGGGUCAAGUCUGUACUGAUUUUCAUGGUGAAUAGAUUACAUGCUUGCAUUCAUGUUCACUUCCGAAGCGCUUAGUGUCUUCCUUCCCUUACUUACAUAUUAACCUCAAAUACCCCGCGCGGCUUCAUCCCAGCUUUACUAGAGGUAGCUCCCGAGAUUUCACUCCCCGAUCGCAGGUUCCCUUCCCUCGCCCCCCCAAACCCUCGCUCGCCUACGUGCGACGCCAGCAAGCCCUUUAAACUGCAGACCGCUGAGCUCGAAAGUGUUUGCUGAUCUCUUCGCCUCCGCGCUGCUGCUAAAUACUUGGGAAACCAGGGGAUGUUGGGCUGCCCCGCUUUGACAAAUAUUCGGGGUUUAAUUGCCAGAAGCCUAGUUAAAAUGAUUUGACAUACUAUUAACCCCUAGGAACAAACUCGCCGUACCGAGAUACUUUCCUUUUCGCCUCGUACCGUCGCUAAAGGCUGAGACCCAGGGAGACCUAUUUUAAAAACGUGGUUAAACUUUUACUAUUGUUGCAUGAAAGGGAUGAUAUAGAAAGCGGAUUGUACAGGGCAGAGACUAAAAAGCACUUCUCUGCCAAUAAAAAUGCACACCCCACCGAAUGAGCAGAGCCAAAGAAAACAGAGAAAUACGCCAAAGAAUACAGCACCUUUUCAGGCAUGGACAUCCCUCGGCUGUUGGAAAAAAAUAUUUUUUUGCUAGUCUGAUGCUCGAUUUCAGAAAAGAAAUAUUUGGGUUCCGGCUGGAUUUAAUCAAAAUAGAAAAACAGAACGGCAGAAGGCUAUUGUGAAGUCGGUGCUCUUAUGAAAUUAGACGUGCUUCGAGAUCUGUCCCCCCGUGGGCUUGGGAGGCUAAUGGAAGGGAAGCUAAAAUGCUAGGGAAAUAAUAUUUGGAUUUUCCCCCCCCUCUUCCUCUGCAGUGCUGUGGAAGUAUUUAUAUAUCCGGAGAAAGUUCUACAGUAAAUUCUGGAGAUCUUCGGUAUUUAAAUGUCAACAUCGAUUUGUUUAUUUAUUGCUUAGCUUAUCGUAACUGACUCAAUAACAAAUCUAAUCAUGUUGUGCACAGAAAAAAUAUUCUCAUUAUGUAUUUUCCCUACAUUAUAGUUAACUAUUACAUUUGAAUUCAAGCUGUAAAUUCAAUAUUAUCAAGUAAUUACUUUGUAGUGGAGUAAACUAAUUUAUUAGCAUUAAUGUUUAUAUGCCUUUUUCUUAUUUUACAAGGGUUACCAUUCACAAAUCAAAUGCUCUGGACGUAUCCCCGUAAUGAACUCUUUAUUUUGGUUUGCUGCAAGAACUUCUCAUGCUUGCUGCAUGUCUGCGAGCUGAACUUGAAAUUAAUGAAUUAAUCUUCAAGCUUGACAUAUUUGCUAGAAAGUGGAUGGAAAGAGAUUGCAUGUCGUCAAAACCGCCAGCAGAAGACUGCAUUGUCGUUUAGGGAUUGUAAAAGCGUUUGGGGAUUUUCCCUCCCUCUCUCUCUCUCUCUCUCUCUCCCCCCUCCCUCCCCACACAACUUGGGCUUGUGGGGGGGUGCAAGAUCUCUGGUUGGCUUUUUCCUUAACGCUAUACUUCUGCUCGCAUCUCAUUUCUCCCCCAGCUUUUGUCGGGGGGUGGGGUGGGUGGGAGUCCUCUUUUGGUACCCGAGCGCUGUUUAUUUUUCCUCUGUCCCCCCACCCUCCGACUCUGUCCACGAAGAAAUCUCCCCCCACACCCUGCUCUCACACAGACACCCCCCUCCCCGAAACAAAAAGGAAUGUAUAAGGAUUUCAGUGACUUUGAGAUAACAAAGGCGCCACCAUUGCAGAGCCUCGCCCCGCCUCUGUGUGAUGGCAAACAAAUUCUUGCACUUGUAUUAGGGCUUUUAAGGCUAUAAUUGAACACGGCGCGUCUAGGAGAACCGAAAACAGUUCUAGACUGACCUGCGGUUUUAUAGCACUUUGGCAGUCAACUUCAGCUUGUGUCAGAGCAGACAUGACAGAGCUGCCCGGCGCUUAAUCGCGGGACGCCACCUACUUGGACUCACUGCAGCCCCCCUCUUGCACUAAAUAAAUUUUAGGGCUAGGAGUGGGGAGCAAAAAGCUGGCACAGGUUUGUAUGCGGCUCUUUCCUGCACCUCCCUGAGGCCGGGGCUGCCGAGCCGUGCGGGGCUCGGCCGUGCCAGAGGUCGGGGCUGCCUCCGGGAAACAAAGGGAAAUUAAGGCAAGAGGGGCGAGGAGGCACCAGCAGACUGGCCACCCUCCUGCGAGACCAGGCGUGUGUGGGAGAGUGUGUGGGCAUAUGUGUGCUUGCACAGCCUGCACACGUGCAGCCCCGAUGCCUGCUUUUGUGUUGCUCUCGGGCUGCACCCUCCCCCCCCCCCAAAAAAAAAAGGGAAAAAAAAAAAGGGAAAAAAAAAAAAGGACAACCACCCCAAGCAACGUAUUUACUCGAUCCUGCUUGCAACGCGAGGGGACCCCAGAAAUCAGGGAGGGUGAUGGGGAAGGCUGCGAGGGGCGCAGCGCGUCUGGGAGCGAGUAGACACCCAAGGCACACAGACUUCUCUGCUUUAUUUGCUGUUAAGUGAAACAGAGAUAAUGUACGCUUAAAGCCCCGGAAUGUGUGGGUAAUUGCAGGGAGCCUGCUGUUAAGUUGCUGUGUUCAGCACAAUUAUCAAUGUUGAUUAUUUGGUCUAAUGUUGAAUUGCUCUUUUAAUACAGUAAUUGGGACUUCCGCGUUGAGGAAGGGGGGAAAAUCGAGCCUUCCCCUUCCUAACCUCAGUGAAAACAACAUCAACAAAGGGAGGCAUUUCGUUUUGAGAAGCAAAAUGCAUUCGUUACGCCUUCCCGAGUAUUUCGGCCGGAUUAGAGAGGGUAACGUGGCUAAAAACGCUAUGAAUUUUGCAGCUCCGCUGCAGCACAUUUUGCGCAGGACGAACGUGGCCAAGAGGUGGGGAGGCUGUGAGCACAUUUACCCAUUUAGCUAAGCUAAACAAAGCGAGGAAAAAGCUACAUCUCUCCUUUGGAGGAAUAUAAACAGAGCUUGGACGCCUCGAUAGCCCAGCUUUUAUAUAUACAGAUCGCGUGCAAAGGGAACUGUUUAACUUACUACCGCUGUUCUCCAAAAGGUCAAGUUCUAUAGUAUCCAAAUUGUUGUCUUUUUUUUUUUUUUUUCGUACUGCAUUUUGUUUUAAACAUUUUCAGCCCACCGUUUACCGUGCCUAUAGGGUGAGUGCCUGUAAUUAACAGGGGAAACGUGUGCUAAAAGGAAUUUGUGUCAAGAAGAGCUAAUUAAAAUAUUGCCCGACCACUGCUUUAACUUUCUUACUCUCCCUUCGCGUAGGCACGGCGAGGAUUGCUGCGAGUCAACCACAGGAAAGUAUCUCAGGAAUUAGGACAGCGUUUUGUAAACUUACGGGACGAUUACAGUGUACAAAGACUUAUAGGAAAAGUGUAAUACGAGGGACUUCACAGCGUUUUUGCCUACGAAAGGCACGUCCCCUCCCCUUUUUUUCCAAUGAAAAUAAGGCCAUAAGGCGAUAAUUCUUCUCAAAAUUUGCCAGGAAUGUAGCUUCAGAAACGCACGGUGAUUGUUUAGAUUUAAAAUAUUUCGUGCUCUGAAGGUCUUCACUGACGUUUGUUCUUUUCUGUGCGCUUUUUAUAUUUUUUUAAUAUGAUUUUUCCUGUUAUGGAAAGGAGCUAUACGAAUCCAUCUAUUAGAAAAAAAAAAUCUAAAUACGUUUCCUUCAGCACCGUAAUAGAAGGAAGUGGAACAAUAGCUAUCUACGAUUUUUCAAAUAUUAAUUUACCUCAUAAUUUGAAGUGAUUUUUGAUAACGGCAAGGGGGAACCCUUGUGCUGUGAUACGGAACAGGCUAUGUAUUGUCCCAAACCUGAAGCAGUAUGGUUGUUAUUUUGCUAGGAAACUGCAGAAUACGAGUAAAGAGAAAGGGCAGAUUUAAACAGAAUCCAAGGCAAGGUUAUUCUGACUUUUUUGUUGGAUUUAAUCUGAUUGCGUUAUUUCAAAGACUUGAACUUCUCUCGAAAGGCUGUGGUCAUCUAGGAGCAGAAAAUUUUAGAUUGUUUUUUAAUAUCAAUUACCAAAACCCUUUAUUUACUCUGUCACCUCGCUUUUUAGUCGCAGAGGUGGGUAAGGUUUAGGUGGGUGUUGAUUUUUUUCAGCCCCCAAUCCUCCCAUUUAGUUUGAACAUUAGAAUAAAAUGGCUUCGGACCGAAAGAAAGAAAUCUACCCUGGUCUGGAGAUAAACCACGGUAAUUUGCAUCCCUUUGCAACGAUGGACCGGUCCAUCUACAGUCAGACUCCGACUCCUGUAGUUGCAACAAGCAAAAAUAUUGGGGGAGUUUUUCAAAACAGGAAGCUUAUUCCAGCAAGAUAGCUUCUCUUUCUCGAGCACUAUUUUCUUGCCCUUUAGCAGCCAAACUAUUUGUUGUUCUAACACACUCUCAGCAUCUUUACAAGCGCGGAGGGUUUCUCAUAACGCUGUGUGUCCUAAAACCCUCCAGCACUCUGAUCCCCCCCGUUCUGCUUCGCUGAAGCCCUUCUAAAAUUUAGUUUGUAUUUACUGCUCGUAGCUUGCUGCUGGAAGACAAUAGAGGCAGAUUUGUCAGUAAAGGGGGCGUAAGGAAUUAUUAUCGUAGACGGUCAAAUAUUUCAGAAAUUGACCGACUGGCGAUGCUGCCAUAAAUGUCUCUUUUUCUGCACAUGAAUGCUCUGCGAGGCUUUCCCGACACGUGAAAGUGCGCACUCAUUCGUUUCUUUUUUUUUUCCCAUGUACCCAGAUACAGGUGCAGGAGACUUCUGACAAAGCCAGGGUGCGGGAGAGGGGUGUCUGGACCCAGCGGCGGGCUCUAAAACGGGUGCGAGAGCCAAUUUCCCUGGUUAUCGCCUCCCGAUACCGAAAACCAGCCACUUCCUACCGAUUCCCACCCAGACCCACUGGGAUCUAGGUCAUUAGCGUCGGUGGCAGGAAGCAGGUUCCAGUCACCUUUCAUGUCCCAGUAUUUUAUGUGGGAUUACUCCGAGCGGUGGAGGGAACAUCCCCAGCGAUUCCUUGAAAGUGCGGUGCUAUUAAACAAUGAGGUUAUCCCUGCGGCCGGCAACAUCUCGGGCGAUGUUCCCACGCAAAGUUCACCCGCAGCCCGGAAUGCCGCUUUACACAUUAAAAAAAAAAAAAAAAAAAAAAAGAAAUGAAAAAAAAAGAAGAAGAAGAAAAAAAAGAAGAAAAGCCCGCCCAAACAUUCCCAUGUCGACUUACAUUUAAAAGUAUUGCUACAACUGAUGCCUUGAACUUGACCUUAGAUUUGUUAAUCCAGGAAAUAUAUUCAGUUAGGGAAAAAAAAAAAAAAAAAAAAAAGAGCUCCAAUCGCGUUGCCUCUGACAAACGGGGAUUCUUCUGCCUCCAAGCUCAGGAUGCAAACAACGCAGGCGGGUUAUGAGAUAUACGACGUGCCCUCUGCAUUAAGGGCAGAAAGCUACAGAAAGCGAACUGCCCCAACGCCGAGACAAGCUUGUUGUAGUUAGGGUGUUCCUGUGAUGCCAGGCUCCAGAGUUUGCCGCACUCGGUACAGAAAUUCGAGUCAAGGAAUUCCGAUGGCGAUUUGCACACAAACAAGGUGAUUGCAGGAGGCUAAAACGCUGUCUAAUUCCUCGGAUUCCCAUCGCACGAGAAGGAGGGGAAAGAAAAAAAAAAAAAAAAAAAGAAGAAGAAGAAAAAAAAAAGAAGUCCAAGUGUUUUUGAUCACGGGACACCCGGCCGUUCCUCCCCAGUACACCCCGGGUCACAGUACAGUAAUGACCGUGGGUUGUGCGUUGUAGGACUUGACCUUUCCUACGUAGAAGAGGGCGCUUUCCUCCGCGCUACGGGGAGGGGAGGGAGGGGGGAGCGGCGGGAGGAAGGGAGAUGCUCUCUUUGGGGAUGUUUAAUCACAAUUCAGAUCUAGGAACGGGCAAAGCUUCUGCCUUUCAGCACGCCAUGUUGAAGCUAUUCACUGGAAAAAAAAAAUCCUUUUUUUUUUUUUUUUUUUUUUGGGGGGGGGGUGUGGGUGGGAGACGAGAGGGAGGCCGGAGGGAGGAGGAAAGACUUAAUGAACAUUUGCAUUUCGUAGCCUAGUUCAUGAAUCAACUGCAUUCAAGGGGGAGGCGGCCCGGGGCAGUGAGGCAGGGGGCAGCGUGGUUAAAACACCCGCGGCCCGGCCCGGCCCCCACGGCCCCGCCGAGCCACGAGGGACAGCCGCCCCCGAGUCCCCCCCUUCUCCUUGGACUCCUUUACCGGCCGAGGACGCGCAGGGCCAUCUCUUCAAAUCAUCAUUAAAGUGCAUUAAAACGCAUCUAAAAGUUAUGAAUGGCAACAACCGGCCUUUUAGCGCCUGCCAAUAUUUUUUUUGUAUUAAACGCUGUCUUGAUUUUAUUGCUAACCCUGCCCACGGAGAAUGCUGAAAUGCACGAGGAGUGGGGUUUUAUUUAAGCAUUAGCCAGUUCUUUUUUUUUUUUUUUUUCCUAAACUUUAAUUUAUAGGCUAAAGGCCGAGAUGCUUACCCGUUUCGUUCUGACGAAUACAAAAUAAAGUCGCUGCUCUGGAAACGCGGGGCGUUUUCAUUUUUUAUUUUUUCAUUUUUUUUCUUAUUAUUUUUUUCCCCGAGUAUUUCAGUAUUGAACACCAUAUUUUUUUCCCUUCGUUUCAGAAGGACUUCUCAGCUAGCUAGCAUUUUUAAGCGGAAGUCUUUCUGAGAAAAAGAAGGCGAAAAAAGAUACAGCUUUGCAGUUCGACUUAUCAUUCUUUUUUCGGAAAUAUGCUCCUGUCAAGGUUUAUUUCCCAUAGCAAACCACCUUUGCUACUGCCAAGAGCUCGAGGCGCGGAUAGAUUAAAUACCGGAUUAUUCUCUUGGUGGGAAAAAAUACAAAACAUUUGCUCUGCCCUUCCGUCCGCAUCCAAAACGUAAACCCACUUUUUGUCCAUGGGAAUUGCAAAUUGCAGGGACCAAGGACGCCGAGGAUUAGGUGAUUAUAAACCAAUAUAUCCAGACACUCGAAAUUAAAGUAUACGCCGUUGAAUCUUGCAACAAUUAUUUGAAGUGAAACUGAAGUGAUUUUUUAAAUCUUUAAUUAUGCUUUGCAUUUUACACCGGGAAUGAAAUAUUGCUCUGACAUUAAUGUUUCAAUAAAUACGUUAAAUAUA